ACCUAUAUAUCUAGUGCAACGUAUAUAUGUCCGACCAAAUUCAAGUUAUGUCCGACGAAAAUUAAAACUGAUCGGACAAAUGUCCUGUCAAGUCAAAUAUUUAUUUGCAGCCCUGGAAAUUCAACAUUUUCACAUGAGAGAAAAUGCUUCCCACUUACACAGCAGUAUUAUAUUAAAAUAUGAAUUUGUAUUUAUUUGGAAAAAAGUGCUGAGAACCUUCACUAGAUGUUUACAAACUGAUCAAGCCAAAUUGACAAUCAACAUUGCAAUGUUGCAGAGCAAUAUUGCAAUGUAGCGUGCAAGAGAACACUCGUUUUGACUGUAAGUAACAAUUUUGAUACACAAGUUCUCCUCACUGUGACGUCAUACGCACAAUGACUCCC